rnacentral:tRNA from 1 species
AAAUCGUGAGGGUUCAAGUCCCUCUAUCCCCAAAAAGUCCAUUUGACUCCCUAAUUAUUUAU